AACGUAGGGGGCGAGCGUUGUCCGGAAUUAUUGGGCGUAAAGCGCGUGUAGGCGGAAGCUUAAGUCAGGUGUGAAAACUGGGGGCUCAACCCCCAGCCGGCAUCUGAAACUGGGUUUCUUGAGGACGGGAGAGGAAAGUGGAAUUCCUAGUGUAGCGGUGAAAUGCGUAGAUAUUAGGAGGAACACCAGUGGCGAAGGCGACUUUCUGGACCGUAACUGACGCUGAGACGCGAAAGCGUGGGGAGGCAAACAGGAUUAGAUACCCGCCGUAGUCCCUGAGCGGGCUGGCAA
rnacentral:rRNA from 1 species